ACAUGGACAGUGAAAUGUUGUCUAUUCACAUUAUGCAGAGAAAGAAAGAACCAGUGUUAUUGAAAGGAUAAAGGCUGAACUUGACACCUGGAAAGAGUUUUAGAAGCUGCAGUCUCUGGUUGAACAGCAAAGGAAAAUUAAAGAACAAUCUCAAAGGUGUCUCAGUUGGACACUCACUGGUGGUCAUGGACAGUCAGCACUUAAGUCCUGCGCUGCUUUACACCUCCCAGAUUGAUAAAUAGGUGAAUUGGCAAAUGAAAUACUGGGGGUAAAACCUGCCAGAAAUUAAUGUUCGUGGAUGUGCGAAGGCCUGUUGUUCUUACAAAGACGAGUGUAUAUUCUUGCUGAAAGAAGAUGGAAAAAGGCUAGGAGAAAAGUCAACUCUAUUUCAACCGAAGGAUUUCAGGAUAUGGCUAUUGACCAGGUGAGGAGGCAACGAAAGAGGAAUCUGGUCAUGAAGGCAAAUUGGGAUCUUUGCAUCAAGAGAAAUUCCUGCAAAGAUAAGAAUUAUCGAAUAGUAAUAGUAAAUAGACUGAUCAAAUGAGUAGAUUUGCCGGAGAGAACUUCACUUGCCGUAGUUGCCUUGCCAUAUCGGACUAGUUACGAAAAAGGUAAACACCACGGACAAGGAAAUUGGCGCAAUUUAUUUUAUUGAAUAAACAUUUUGAUCACCGCCAUUUUCUGAAAUAGUUUUAGAGGGGUGUUCGUUAUUUUAGAGACCAAUGCAAACCUAGGGAUUUUCAGAAUUGAUAGUAAAUUCACGCCGAUGUUAAAAUUGCCAGAAGUGUAACCUUUAAACAAAUUUGUUAUGAUGUUUAGCACAUGUAAUUUUUGGUAGGUAAAUUUGUCGCCAAAAGCAAAGACGAGUUUUCGAUUUUGUACUAUCGAUCGAUCAAGGUUGUUAUCAAAAUAUUAAUACUCAUUACUACUAGUCACUAUGGUUACACUGACUGUCGAUAUCAUAGAUUUAAAGUGGCACUACAAGACGAAAGAGCUCUAAAACAUGACACUAUUUUUCAAACAGAUAUUUUUUAUAGAAAAUUAAUGCUAACUGAAUGUCGACUUAGCACAUAACAUUGAAGUGUAGCAAGAAAUGUCUGUUAAUUUCUACAAUGCACUCGACAGUGCUACAGUGAAAAGAUUCACACGUUUGUUUCGUUAUCUGAUUAGUACAACUAGUGUCCUUUUGAAAAAACGUGUGUUCGUUCUCGUUUCGUUUUGAGAAUUUUUGUAUAUCAAACCCAAAUGUCUGGUUGGGCGUAGAAGCAUUCUCAAUUGUAAGUCAAAAUCCAUUGACCACAAGCAAAAAAUGAGAAAUGAAGGAGAAAUUUGUUUUUUAUGCUGGGUACUUAAUAUUAAAAAGAACAAACAAAAUCAUUAUGAUAAAGUCAGUACUAAAAAUUUUAAAUUCGAAAUUUAAAUUGUCUUGGUUAACCUUUUUAAAUUUAACAUCACCUUUUGGUGUUUUGCCAUAAAUAGCCAAAGUGGAGAAGAUUGAGUUAGAAGUUUUGUUUCAGUGAAUUUGUCAAUUGUUUUACAAGAAUAAAAUGCAAGUAAACGAAAGUGGAAGUAACUGAAAGAAAAUGUUGAUCGAGAUGUUCUCUCUUUGGUGUCAUCACGGUGUGAUAGCUUUAAAGUUCAUUCAUUUAAUUUCCAUGUGCCAGUUGAUUAGGAAAACUCAGAAGAACGCCUCUCUACCUCGGGCCAGACAUUGGAUUCAUCAAAAGAAAAGACUUGUUACAUUGAAAAACAUCUUUCUGCCGGCCCUCAAUGUUACGCAGGACAUAGUAGCAAAAGGGAAUUCAAGUGAAUUACGCAUUGCGGAAUUUAGAAAAAUUGAAUUUACAUUUUUACCAAAAAUUGUAAAAAAUGAUCCCCUGAAGUUCGACUGACCUUGAAUGACCUUGCGUAGCUCGGCGUACACGAAAGCCGCGAUGUUGAUUUUUUUUUUUUUAUUAUAAUGCAAAUCUAUCGACGUGAAUUUUGAUGCGGCAAACAAUUUUUCGCGUUUGAAAGAACUGUAUAUUCAGAUAAUCAAAAUGUAACUUAAUUACUGGUCACAAUUUUCUUUGAACAUUGCUAUUAUUACAUCUCUCUCAGUCUGUAGUUUCCUUAUCAUGUACAACGUGGGUUCGCAUCUAGUGCAUUGAGAAUUUUUAAUAUAGGAGCGUCGCAUAAUUUCCAUUUUUUCGACACUAGUCAAUUCAUUCUUCUCUUUGACUACAGUUUGAUAGUUCAGUUUCGAGUGUUUCACGAAGAUUUUUGUGGAGUCACUUUCUGUUAAAAACAAAAGAAAUGACAACCGAGCGAUGUGUAGAUAUCUGAUCUUAAU
rnacentral:lncRNA from 1 species